AUGUGCCACUUGCACACGCCGAUUCCUGUCGCCGCCCGCACACACUUGAUGAACGCUCGCGACGUUUUUGUGAGCC
rnacentral:sRNA from 1 species